CAAUAGCGUAUAUUAAAGUUGUUGCAGUUAAAAAGCUCGUAGUCGGAUUUCGGGUUUGUCCGCGCGGUCUGCCGUUGGGUAUGCACUGCGUGUGACUUAUCUUUUUCGGGGCAGCGCGCGUUGCUUAAUUGUGGCGUGUGUCUCCUCGCUUUUACUUUGAGAAAAUCAGGGUGUUCAAAGCAGGCCUUUGCCAUUGUAUGUGUUAGCAUGGGAUAAUGGAAUAGGACUCUGGUGCUAUUUUGUUGGUUUCGAACGCCGGGGUAAUGAUUAAUAGGGAUAGUCAGGGGCACUCGUAUUCCGUAGAGAGAGGUGAAAUUCUUAGACCCACGGAAGACGCACUACUGCGAAAGCAUUUGCCAGGGAUGUUUUCACUGA
rnacentral:rRNA from 1 species